rnacentral:rRNA from 1 species
CCAAUAGCGUAUAUUAAAGUUGUUGCAGUUAAAAAGCUCGUAGUUGAAUUUCGGGAUCAAUACGUCGGUCGUGCCUUCGGUACGUACUGUCGUCAUUGGUUUCUCCCUUCUGACGAACCAUGAUGUCAUUAAUUUGGUGUUAUGGGGAGUUAGGACUGUUACUUUGAAAAAAUUAGAGUGUUUAAAGCAGGCAA